AGUGAACGCUGGCGGUAGGCCUAACACAUGCAAGUCGAACGGCAGCACAGUAAGAGCUUGCUCUUACGGGUGGCGAGUGGCGGACGGGUGAGGAAUACAUCGGAAUCUACUUUUUCGUGGGGGAUAACGUAGGGAAACUUACGCUAAUACCGCAUACGACCUACGGGUGAAAGCAGGGGAUCUUCGGACCUUGCGCGAUUGAAUGAGCCGAUGUCGGAUUAGCUAGUUGGCGGGGUAAAGGCCCACCAAGGCGACGAUCCGUAGCUGGUCUGAGAGGAUGAUCAGCCACCAUGGAACUGAGAAACGGUCCAGACUCCUACGGGAGGCAGCAGUGGGGAAUAUUGGACAAUGGGCGCAAGCCUGAUCCAGCCAUACCGCGUGGGUGAAGAAGGCCUUCGGGUUGUAAAGCCCUUUUGUUGGGAAAGAAAAGCAGCAGGUUAAUACCCCGCUGUUCUGACGGUACCCAAAGAAUAAGCACCGGCUAACUUCGUG
rnacentral:rRNA from 1 species